rnacentral:rRNA from 1 species
UACGUAGGGUGCAAGCGUUGUCCGGAAUUAUUGGGCGUAAAGAGCUCGUAGGCGGUCUGUCGCGUCUGCUGUGAAAACUCAGGGCUUAACCCUGAGCUUGCAGUGGGUACGGGCAGACUAGAGUGCGGUAGGGGAGACUGGAAUUCCUGGUGUAGCGGUGAAAUGCGCAGAUAUCAGGAGGAACACCGGUGGCGAAGGCGGGUCACUGGACCGGUACUGACGCUGAGGCGCGAAAGCGUGGGUAGCAAACAGG